UACAGAGGGUGCAAGCGUUAAUCGGAAUUACUGGGCGUAAAGCGUGCGUAGUCGGUUAUUUAAGUCGGGUGUGAAAGCCCCGGGCUCAACCUGGGAAUUGCAUUCGAGACUGCGUAACUAGGGUGCGGAAGAGGGAAGCGGAAUUUCCGGUGUAGCGGUGAAAUGCGUAGAUAUCGGAAGGAACACCAGUGGCGAAAAGCGGCUUCCUGGUCCAGCACCGACGUCAGGCACGAAAGCGUGGGGGAGCAAACAGG
rnacentral:rRNA from 1 species